rnacentral:rRNA from 1 species
UCACGGAAGUGGGCUGCACUAGAAGCGCCUGAGCUAACCCGCAAGGGAGGCAGGGCAUCACGGUGUGGUCCAUGACUGGGGUG